rnacentral:piRNA from 1 species
UAGACUACCUGCCACAAUCUCUAGCGGCC